UGGAUGCACCCUGAUUGAGAGUCCCCCUGGCUAGAAGCUAGGGGAUUUUUUU
rnacentral:sRNA from 1 species